CAAUCUGCCCUUCACUCUGGGACAAGCCCUGGAAACGGGGUCUAAUACCGGAUAACACUCCUGCCUGCAUGGGUGGGGGUUAAAAGCUCCGGCGGUGAAGGAUGAGCCCGCGGCCUAUCAGCUUGUUGGUGAGGUAGUGGCUCACCAAGGCGACGACGGGUAGCCGGCCUGAGAGGGCGACCGGCCACACUGGGACUGAGACACGGCCCAGACUCCUACGGGAGGCAGCAGUGGGGAAUAUUGCACAAUGGGCGAAAGCCUGAUGCAGCGACGCCGCGUGAGGGAUGACGGCCUUCGGGUUGUAAACCUCUUUCAGCAGGGAAGAAGCGAAAGUGACGGUACCUGCAGAAGAAGCGCCGGCUAACUACGUGCCAGCAGCCGCGGUAAUACGUAGGGCGCAAGCGUUGUCCGGAAUUAUUGGGCGUAAAGAGCUCGUAGGCGGCUUGUCACGUCGGUUGUGAAAGCCCGGGGCUUAACCCCGGGUCUGCAGUCGAUACGGGCAGGCUAGAGUGUGGUAGGGGAGAUCGGAAUUCCUGGUGUAGCGGUGAAAUGCG
rnacentral:rRNA from 1 species